AGUGAACGCUGGCGGUAGGCCUAACACAUGCAAGUCGAACGGCAGCACAGUAAGAGCUUGCUCUUACGGGUGGCGAGUGGCGGACGGGUGAGGAAUACAUCGGAAUCUACUUUUUCGUGGGGGAUAACGUAGGGAAACUUACGCUAAUACCGCAUACGACCUACGGGUGAAAUCAGGGGAUCUUCGGACCUUUCGCGAUUGAAUGAGCCGAUGUCGGGUUAGCUAGUUGGCGGGGUAAAGGCCCACCAAGGCGACGAUCCGUAGCUGGUCUGAGAGGAUGAUAAGCAAAACAGGAACUGAGAAACGGUCCAGACACCUACGGGAGGCAGAAGUGGGGAAUAUUGGAAAAUGGGCGAAAGCCUGAACCAGGCAUACCGCGUGGGGGAAGAAGGCCUUCGGGUUGUAAAGCCCUUUUGUUGGGAAAGAAAAGCAGCAGGUUAAUACCCCGCUGUUCUGACGGUACCAAAAGAAUAAGCACCGGCUAACUUCGU
rnacentral:rRNA from 1 species